UGUGGGAGGGGGCUUGCCCCCGAUAGCGGUGGCUCAGUACCGAAUGCAUCGACUGACAGUCCGCCAUCGGGGGCAAGCCCCCUCCCACA
rnacentral:misc_RNA from 1 species